rnacentral:sRNA from 1 species
AGAAGGAGGAGCAGAGGGGCUGCUGGCGAGCUUGGGUUUAGGCGAAUGGGGGAGCAAAGGAAAUGGAGGCUCCCAACUUAGCUAGAUCCCUUCCCAGUAAGGGGACAGGACAUGUUGGCACUGCAAAAAAGGAAUGAGUGAGAGGAACACCUCGAAAAUACAGCUAAGUGGUGAGGUCUGUGAGAAAGGCCAGAAGUCAACUUGCAUUAGAAAAUGUGCUAUUACCAAGAAGCAUGUCACCAAGACAACCGAAUAGAACUGUCCAGAGUAUGUCCUUCUGCAGAAAUAUCAAUUGAGACAACUAUCCAGGCAUGAAAUACCUUCAUAAGAACUAAACAAAACAGGGAAAGCUCCUUAAACCAGAAGAGAGUUGUGGCAAAAAAAGACACACUCAACCAAGAGUUGCGAUGAAAGCAAUGUGUCACAUGAAUUGCCAAUACUUACACUAGUUAAAAGAAGAAAGAAACAAAAGAAAAUAGAGCAUCAUUAUAUAAAAGAGUCAACUUAUCAAGCAGAACCAUCCCUUUAUUCUUCUUCUUUCCCCUACAAUGAAGUGAUUCUUUACAACAUCCUGUGCUCCUUUUAAAGCCCAUUGGUUCCUUGUGGUGCUGUCAGAAUGUACAUGAGGAACGUCUACUGAAGAAAGGAAAGCCUCUCAGAAGCCAAAUACCUGAAGAAAACUCACUCUGCCUCUCAUAAGAAUCCAUCAGUGGCCAAUAUCACCUCAGUGUUUCCACAGGACGUAUCCCAGAUGAUUGAGUCGGGGGAAAGUCUACAAAAGUUUGGAUGUUGAUUAUUUCCUAAUAUCCCAGAAAUGAGAGGAAAGCCUAAACAUGAUCUAGGAUUAAGGAUACCAGCUUUUGCAGAAGAACUAAAACAACUACCCAUGUCUAAACAAGCAACUACUAGACUCUUGGGCUUCCCAUUCACAACUGCCCAUUGUUGGGUUAGCUGGACUACUGACUAGUCACCAGCCAACAAACAGGCAUUAAAUUCACCAUCCUAAGGAAAUUAUUCAUACUCAAAACAUAACAGCCAAAAGUCAUGCACUUGAAGACUUCUGUCUCUACUCCUCUAUUCUACGGAUAAAGUGAAACCAUAACUUUCAGGAAAAGAAAACAUGAGAAUGUAGAUUACAAAAGUCGGAACUGACAAAAUACAUAAAGACCAUGGGAUGGAAUUUACAUUUUGAGGAUGGCAGAGUAAUGAAUCAGAAAGAGCCUUUGACACCAACGACUCACAGGAAGUCCCAACAUGUCUCCUUAAUAUCUUCAUAGUGGUCAUAUCAUUUGAAUAUGAAGAAGAAAAAGAGCAGGUGGAGGUAUUCAACCAUGCCGUCAAUCAACUAUGCAAUGCAACUAUGCAAUGACCAAUUAAAAGAAUAAGAAAUCUAAAUGAAUAGAUCUUUUAUUAUUAAUUUCAUUUAAUACUGGUUAAGCAAGAGAGACAGUUGAAUUAGGGUUUUUAAA